rnacentral:lncRNA from 1 species
CUUCAAUAUUGAACACAGGCGCAGACCCUGCGUCUCUGUAUUUACAUGUAAAUGGCCUACAACAAUCUGGGUCCCUCCUGUACUGUAGGAUCCCUCCAAAAGGAUGGUGGAUGGAUGGGUGACGACUAGUCAGAUGGAGAGACCACAUCAGAUGGGCUUGCACGGCUCUGGAGCCAAAGCUGCAAAGGGAGAGCCUGGCAGUCAGGGAAACAGCAGGGACUCCCACAUACAUUGUGGCGGCCCAUAGCAGUUCGUUCUAACUGGAGAGCAGCACCGUGUCAAGUACAAAAGCAAAGAACCCUAUGUCAGAAUGAAGAUUGUUUUUAAAUAGAAAAUUAGCCUACAUGCUCCCCAAUGCAAGGUCCAACAAAGUGGAAAGUCAGAGAGGUUAAGAAUUGACAGAAAUUGGACGGAAAGUUUGGUCAUAGUACAACCCUUUGGCAGCAACUGUAAAUGACUGCCUCCACCACAGCCAUACGAAGAGGUAUCAAGACAAACUCCCUCAGGUUGGACUCGAGUGACAAGAAACACUGAGCAGCAACUAUCAUGACCUUUGGAGAGUGGAGCAGGGAGGAUGCUGGGAGGGGGGCUCCUGCUCCUCAGGGUCCCGGGCUGAGGGGGCUGAGGGGGUGAAGGUGAGAGACCGUGAAGGGCCUUCUUCCACCCGGUCACAACAGGCAUGUGAUUUCUCCCUCCAG